CUACGGGCGGCAGCAGUGGGGAAUAUUGCACAAUGGAGGAAACUCUGAUGCAGCAACGCCGCGUGGAGGAUGACACUUUUCGGAGCGUAAACUCCUUUUAUAUAGGAAGAAGAUGACGGUACUAUAUGAAUAAGCGCCGGCUAACUCCGUGCCAGCAGCCGCGGUAAUACGGAGGGCGCAAGCGUUACGCGGAAUCACUGGGCGUAAAGAGCGUGUAGGCGGAUUAAAAAGUCAGAAGUGAAAUCCUAUAGCUUAACUAUAGAACUGCUUCUGAAACUCUUAAUCUAGAAUAUGGGAGAGGUAGAUGGAAUUUCUGGUGUAGGGGUAAAAUCCGUAGAGAUCAGAAGGAAUACCGAUUGCGAAGGCGAUCUACUAGAACAUUAUUGACGCUGAGACGCGAAAGCGUGGGGAGCAAACAGGAUUAGAUACCCGGGUAGUC
rnacentral:rRNA from 1 species